UACGAAGGGGGCGAGCGUUGUUCGGAAUUACUGGGCGUAAAGGGCGCGUAGGCGGCCAAGCAAGUUAGAUGUGAAAGUCCUGGGCUUAACCUGGGGACUGCAUUUGAUACUGCUUGGCUUGAAUUCGGGAGAGGAUAGCGGAAUUCCCAGUGUAGAGGUGAAAUUCGUAGAUAUUGGGAAGAACACCGGGUGGCGAAGGCGGCUAUCUGGACCGACAUUGACGCUGAGGCGCGAAAGCGUGGGGAGCAAACAGG
rnacentral:rRNA from 1 species